rnacentral:rRNA from 1 species
GAGAAUCCCACAGGCCGUAAACCCAAGGUUUCCAGGGGAAGGUUCGUCCGCCCUGGGUUAGUCGGGACCUAAGCUGAGGCCGAAAGGCGUAGGUGAUGGACAACAGGUUGAUAUUCCUGUACUACCGAUAACCGUUUGAGAGAAGGGAUGACACAGUAGGAUAAGCUAAGCACACUGUUGGUUAUGUGUGCCCAAGCAUUGAGGCAGUCAAAGUAGGCAAAUCCGCUUUGAUAAUACUGGGAUGUGAUGGGGAGCGAAAUUUAGUAGCGAAGUAGCUGAUUUCACACUGUCAAGAAAAGUCUCUAUCGAGGUUAAAGGUACCCGUACCGCAAACCGAC